CAUUCCUUUGAAUAUAACUAUAUUUUACUAUAUUUUCAGUCACUAAUGUAUUUUUGUUUCUGGUAUCAUAUAAAUGAGAUAAGUUAAAAUCUGCGAAUAAGUUUAUAUUUUGCUUAACAAAUAUAAUUACUUCAUAUAUGUAUAAGCUCACUAAGGUAAGUAUUCUUUUUUCAAUAAAAAUUUGUUUACAGCUAUCUGUCUGUUUCAUGUUUAGAAUAUUUCUAAUGCAUCUCUUUUGUAGUACAAAUAAAUCGAUAGCAUCACUAGAGUUUCCCCAGAAGACAAUUCCAUAUUUUAUUUGAGAUUGAACAUAUGCAUGGUAUGCUAUAAAUGCUGUAGGAAUAUUAAUAUUUUGAGCUAUUACUUUUAGAGCAUAACAGUAUUUAGCGAUCUUUUGACCAACAUGGUCUACAUGGGUUUUCCAGUUCAAACGUGAAUCAAUCUUUACCCCCAAAAAGGAGGUGCUAUUCAUAGAUGUUAUGAUGUCAUUGCCAGUAGUAUUCCUUAUUUUUAUUACCGAUUAUUAUAGAUGUAUCAUCAGCAUACAUAAUAGUUUUUACAUCAACUGUUGAGGGCAGGUCAUUUGUGUAUAAAAUAUACAACAAAGGACCCAAUAUCGACCCCUGAGGUACACCCCUUUCUAUUAAUACUACGUUUGAUUUUAUGAGAGCGCCAGUAUCGUCCGUUUCUACAACACACUGCUUCCUAUUCAGCAGGUGCCUCAAGUUCCAGUAACUGGCCCUCGUGAUCAGAUAAAGCUGUUGUAAUUACUUUACCUAUAUGAGCAUUAUCAAAG